ACGGGUGAGUAACGCGUGGGUAACCUGCCUUAUACAGGGGGAGUAACAGUCAGAAAUGGCUGCUAAUACCGCAUAAGCGCACAGAGCUGCAUGGCUCAGUGUGAAAAACUACCGGUGGUAUAAGAUGGACCCGCGUUGGAUUAGCUUGUUGGUGGGGUAACGGCCCACCAAGGCGACGAUCCAUAGCCGGCCUGAGAGGGUGAACGGCCACAUUGGGACUGAGACACGGCCCAGACUCCUACGGGAGGCAGCAUG
rnacentral:rRNA from 1 species